GAUGAACGCUGGCGGCGUGCCUAAUACAUGCAAGUCGAGCGAACAGACAAGGAGCUUGCUCCUUUGACGUUAGCGGCGGACGGGUGAGUAACACGUGGGUAACCUACCUAUAAGACUGGGAUAACUUCGGGAAACCGGAGCUAAUACCGGAUAAUAUUUCGAACCGCAUGGUUCGAUAGUGAAAGAUGGUUUUGCUAUCACUUAUAGAUGGACCCGCGCCGUAUUAGCUAGUUGGUAAGGUAACGGCUUACCAAGGCGACGAUACGUAGCCGACCUGAGAGGGUGAUCGGCCACACUGGAACUGAGACACGGUCCAGACUCCUACGGGAGGCAGCAGUAGGGAAUCUUCCGCAAUGGGCGAAAGCCUGACGGAGCAACGCCGCGUGAGUGAUGAAGGUCUUCGGAUCGUAAAACUCUGUUAUUAGGGAAGAACAUACGUGUAAGUAACUAUGCACGUCUUGACGGUACCUAAUCAGAAAGCCACGGCUAACUACGUGCCAGCAGCCGCGGUAAUACGUAGGUGGCAAGCGUUAUCCGGAAUUAUUGGGCGUAAAGCGCGCGUAGGCGGUUUUUUAAGUCCGAUGUGAAAGCCCACGGCUCAACCGUGGAGGGUCAUUGGAAACUGUAAAACUUGAGUGCAGAAGAGGAAAGUGGAAUUCCAUGUGUAGCGGUGAAAUGCGCAGAGAUAUGGAGGAACACCAGUGGCGAAGGCGACUUUCUGGUCUGUAACUGACGCUGAUGUGCGAAAGCGUGGGGAUCAAACAGGAUUAGAUACCCUGGUAGUCCACGCCGUAAACGAUGAGUGCUAAGUGUUAGGGGGUUUCCGCCCCUUAGUGCUGCAGCUAACGCAUUAAGCACUCCGCCUGGGGAGUACGACCGCAAGGUUGAAACUCAAAGGAAUUGACGGGGACCCGCACAAGCGGUGGAGCAUGUGGUUUAAUUCGAAGCAACGCGAAGAACCUUACCAAAUCUUGACAUCCUUUGACAACUCUAGAGAUAGAGCCUUCCCCUUCGGGGGACAAAGUGACAGGUGGUGCAUGGUUGUCGUCAGCUUGUGUCGUGAGAUGUUGGGUUAAGUCCCGCAGCGAGCGCAACCCUUAAGCUUAGUUGCCAUCAUUAAGUUGGGCACUCUAAGUUGACUGCCGGUGACAAACCGGAGGAAGGUGGGGAUGACGUCAAAUCAUCAUGCCCCUUAUGAUUUGGGCUACACACGUGCUACAAUGGACAAUACAAAGGGCAGCGAAACCGCGAGGUCAAGCAAAUCCCAUAAAGUUGUUCUCAGUUCGGAUUGUAGUCUGCAACUCGACUACAUGAAGCUGGAAUCGCUAGUAAUCGUAGAUCAGCAUGCUACGGUGAAUACGUUCCCGGGUCU
rnacentral:rRNA from 1 species